rnacentral:rRNA from 1 species
UACGGGGGGGGCGAGCGUUGUUCGGAAUUACUGGGCGUAAAGAGCUCGUAGGUGGUUUGUCGCGUUGUCCGUGAAAACUCACAGCUUAACUGUGGGCGUGCGGGCGAUACGGGCAGACUGGAGUACUGCAGGGGAGACUGGAAUUCCUGGUGUAGCGGUGGAAUGCGCAGAUAUCAGGAGGAACACCGGUGGCGAAGGCGGGUCUCUGGGCAGUAACUGACGCUGAGGAGCGAAAGCGUGGGGAGCGAACAGG